rnacentral:rRNA from 1 species
UACAGAGGGUGCGAGCGUUAAUCGGAAUUACUGGGCGUAAAGCGUGCGUAGACGGUUAUUUAAGUCGGGUGUGAAAGCCCCGGGCUCAACCUGGGAAUUGCAUUCGAGACUGAAUAAGCUAGGGUACGGUAGAGGAUGGUGGAAUUCCCGGUGUAGCGGAUGAAAUGCGUAGAGAUCGGGAGGAACACCCGUGGCGAAGGCGGCCAUCUGGACCAGCACUGACGCUGAGGCACGAAAGCGUGGGGAGCAAACAGGA